CCAAAGUUGGAUUUUUCCGAUUUCCCAGCUGUCCUGAAGCAGCACAAGGACAAGGCUUUUCUUUUCUCCAGUCAUGGUUGUCUUCUUAUCAAAAUGCUUUGCUAGCUCUACUUGCUGUGUUUGGAUUUGCUUCAAUCAGGUGGCCAAGGUGUGCACACCAGAAGGAGCAGCACAAUGUCCCUUGAAUUAAAGCAAAAAAAAGUGAAUAACAGGCCCAACGCAGUUUCUCAGCUCAUGACGUGCCAAUGAACCGAGGUGAACAUCUGCCAUUUCCAACCAACUGUUGCCAUGUCAUAGCAAAGCCAAACGGGAUUAGGACACUCACUCGGUUGUCGGAGCUGGGGAUCAUCGUAUCUGUCAUCCAGGAGCCGAACCUGGACCCCGACGCGCGGACCGUGAUGGGAUUACUGACGCCGGUGAGCUUCCCGCAGCCUGCAGGUCAAAGAAGAGAUAAAGGGAGGAAGUGUGACGAAUGAAUUUGGAGCCGGCGAGAGACAGGAAGACAAAGGGCCCGACAGACAAUCGCAGCUUGUGUUCGCUUGUAAGGAGAUAAGGUGGAAAUGGAUGGCAACAAGGGGUCACGGGGCGCUGGAGCCUAUCCCUCGGGCGAAUGGCGGACUACACCCUGAACUGGUCGCCAGUCAGUCGCAGGGCAAGGACAACCAUUCGCACCGUCACUGAGUGGGAACUGAACCCACGCUGCCCGCGCCAAAGUCAGGCGAGAUGCCACUACAUCAUCAGUGACGUUUUCUGCAACAGUUAACCAAAGUAGACUUUUUUUGGUUUUUAACUAAUUUUAAUUUUUCAUACGCAUUUAGGAAUCACCUCACUAAAUAAUUGUAUGAUUAAUUAAUUAUAAAUAAUAAAAUAAAAAAUGGGAAUGCGAUACAAUUUCACGUAUUUAAGUUUUUUAUAUUUUUAAAUGUCAUUGAAGAAUAAUCUCACCCAUCAAUCAAAUGUGGCCCUUGAGCGAAAACUUUUGCCUGCCCAUGACGCCUGCUACGUGAAUCAUUGCGCAUUAGUCACCAAAGUAACAACAGGCUGUUUUAUUCGGCUUUAU